UACAGAGGGGGCAAGCGUUAUUCGGAAUUAUUGGGCGUAAAGGGCGCGUAGGCGGCUUUGCAAGUGACGGGUGAAAUCCCUCGGCUUAACCGAGGAACUGCCUGUCAAACUGCAUGGCUUGAGACCGGGAGAGGUGAGUGGAAUUCCCAGUGUAGCGGUGAAAAUGCGUAGAUAUUGGGAGGAACACCAGUGGCGAAGGCGGCUCACUGGACCGGUACUGACGCUGAGGCGCGAAAGCGUGGGGAGCAAACAGG
rnacentral:rRNA from 1 species